rnacentral:rRNA from 1 species
CGUACAGGCUGCCGGGAAUACUGCAGAGCUAGGGAGUGGGAGAGGUAGACGGUACUCGGGAGGAAGUGGUAAAAUGCUUUGAUCUCUCGAUGACCACCUGUGGCGAAGGCGGUCUACCAGAACACGUCCGACGGUGAGGGAUGAAAGCUGGGGGAGCAAACCGGAUUAGAUACCCGGGUAGUCCCAGCUGUAAACUAUGCAAACUCAGUGAUGCAUUGGCUUGUGGCCAAUGCAGUGUUGCAGGGAAGCCGUUAAGUUUGCCGCCUGGGAAGUACGUACGCAAGUAUGAAACUUAAAGGAAUUGGCGGGGGAGCACCACAAGGGGUGAAGCCUGCGGUUCAAUUGGAGUCAACGCCAGAAAUCUUACCCGGAGAGACAGCAGAAUGAAGGUCAAGCUGAAGACUUUACCAGACAAGCUGAGAGGUGGUGCAUGGCCGCCGCCAGCUCGUGCCGUGAGAUGUCCUGUUAAGUCAGGUAACGAGCGAGAUCCCUGCCUCUAGUUGCCACCAUUACUCUCAGGAGUAGUGGGGCGAAUUAGCGGGACCGCCGCAGUUAAUGCGGAGGAAGGAAGGGGCCACG